rnacentral:lncRNA from 1 species
GUCGGAAAGCGGCCUUCUGGGACUCCGCAAACUCCCGUUCUCCCUCCCCCCUCCCCCUUGCCAUUCCCUUUGCCUUCCGGGCGCCAAGUCUCUCUGGCCUCCAAGGUGAACCCAACUCCCCAGCGCGCCCCGGGUUCCCGGGUCGGGCCGGCUUCAGGCGGUGGGGAGCGGGAUCCCGGGCCCCGGGCGGGCGGGAGGGACGGGACGCGGUGCAGUGUUGUUUUUUCCCCCGCCAAUAUUGCACUCGUCCCGGCCUCCGGCCCCCCCGGCCCCCCGGCCUCCCCGCUACCCCUAGCGGGGCAGCCCCCGCCCUCCUGGCUCUCCAUCCCGGCGGAUCUUUGAUAGACUGGAGUGUCGCCGCUGCCACCGUGCUUGUGUCCGUGGUGAGAAGGGUGAUGGAGAGAAGUGGCUGCAGUUCCCACCCAUGGAGAGGUCACUGGUGAAUCCCAGCUAAAGAGGAAGGACAGGCCCGGCCUGAGUCCCACAGGCUUACCAUCUGAGUCCUUCUGAUUGGGAUUGGGUACCAGGCGGCAGUUAUCGGGACCAGGAGGCACAUAAUCUGGGAUGCCAUCAUUGUCAUCAUCCCCAUCACACUCAUCUCCAAGUCCAUCGUUAUCAGAGUCCAGCUGGGAGCUAUUUGGCAGCUGUGGGCAGUUGUCCUUGGUGUCCUGAUGCCCAUCCCCAUCGCUAAUCAGAAGAACAGGUUGGUGAAAGUCCCGAACUUUGUCUCCCCACCCAGAGGACAACUGGCCAGGAAAUCUGCCUGUUUCUUGUCUCACCCUCUAGUCCACACUCUGCCUAACACUACGCCCUACCUCACAUUCCUAUUGACAUCUGCUGCAGGUAAUCUCUCCUCACCCAGGCCAACGUCCACAAGCCUGCCUCCCUAUUUCACAGAGACUUCCUAGCUUCCCUGCUUCAUCCCCACCUGAUCCAAAUUCUCACAGGUCCCCCAGCCACCCCUUCAGCCCCAGGCCUGCACCAUCCCCAUCCACGUCGUUGUCACAGGCAUCUCCUUCCCCAUUGCCAUCUGUGUCCUUCUGGUCAUUGUUGGGAACGUUGGGGCAAUUGUCACAGGCAUCACCAAAUGAAUCUGUAUCUG